rnacentral:tRNA from 1 species
UAGCUCAGUGGUACAGUGUGUGCUUGCCAUGCACGAGGCCCUGGGUUCAAUCCCCAG